AAGCAUCUAAGCGGGAAGCCUCUUCCAAGAUAAGAUCUCCCUGGGAACUUGAUUCCCCUAAAGAGCCGUUCAAGACCAGGACGUUGAUA
rnacentral:rRNA from 13 species